rnacentral:misc_RNA from 1 species
GUUUCAACGUCGAAACAUAAAGAUCUGUGCGAAAAAUGCGACCACAUACUCGAUUCUGACGACAAACUGAGCGCUAUUUCGUUAUUGUUGGAGAUAUUUCGACGUUUAAACGCUAUGUCCAUUGCAUUUUACACGCCGAAUGCUAUGCACGCCGUUUCUUUUAUCCUGGAAACAUGCCCAACUGUGCGCAAAAUAAGACCAUUUACUCGAUUUUGACGAAAACUGUGCGUUAUAUCGGUCCUGUUGGAGAUAUUUCGACGUUUAAACGCUAUUUCUAUUGCAUUUUACACGCCGAAUUCUAUACACGCCGUUUUCAGCGUCGAGACAAGCCCAACUGUGCGCAAAAUGCGACCAUUUACUCGAUUCUGACGACAAACUGAGCG